AUUGAACGCUGGCGGCAGGCCUAACACAUGCAAGUCGAGCGGAGCGGCGGACGGGUGAGUAAUGCCUAGGAAUCUGCCUGGUAGUGGGGGAUAACGUCCGGAAACGGGCGCUAAUACCGCAUACUAUCAGAUGAGCCUAGGUCGGAUUAGCUAGUUGGUGGGGUAAAGGCCUACCAAGGCGAAGAUCCGUAACUGGUCUGAGAGGAUGAUAAGUCACACGGGAACGGAGAGAAGGUCCAGAAGCCUACGUGAGGCAGCAGUGGGGAAUAGUGGACAAUGGGCGAAAGCCUGAUCCAGCCAUGCAGCGUGUGGGAAGAAGGUCGUCGGAUUGGAAAGCACUUUAAGUUGGGAGGCGUGACCAACAGAAUAAGCACCGGCUAACUUCGUGCCAGCCGCCGCGGGAAUAC
rnacentral:rRNA from 1 species